rnacentral:tRNA from 1 species
GGGGCUAUAGCUCAACGGAUAGAGCAGUUGCCUUCUAAGCUACUGAUGUGGUUUCGAUUACCGCUAGCCCCGCCA